rnacentral:rRNA from 1 species
UAGGGAAUCUUCGGCAAUGGGGGGAACACUGACCGAGCAACGCCGCGUGAGUGAAGAAGGUUUUCGGAUCGUAAAGCUCUGUUGUUAAGGAAGAACGAGUGUGAGAAUGGAAAGUUCAUACUGUGACGGUACUUAACCAGAAAGGGACGGCUAACUACGUGCCAGCAGCCGCGGUAAUACGUAGGUCCCGAGCGUUGUCCGGAUUUAUUGGGCGUAAAGCGAGCGCAGGCGGUUAGAUAAGUCUGAAGUUAAAGGCAGUGGCUCAACCAUUGUAGGCUUUGGAAACUGUUUAACUUGAGUGCAGAAGGGGAGAGUGGAAUUCCAUGUGUAGCGGUGAAAUGCGUAGAUAUAUGGAGGAACACCAGUGGCGAAGGCGACUCUCUGGUCUGUAACUGACGCUGAGGUUCGAAAGCGUGGGUAGCAAACAGG